rnacentral:snRNA from 1 species
AGCUUUGCACAGUGGCAGUAUUAUAGCCAAUGAGGUUUAUCCAAGGCAUAAUUAUUGCUAAUUGAAAACUUUUCCCAAUACUCCACCAUGAUGACUUGAAAUACAGUCAGCAUUGGCAAUUUUUGACAGCCUCUAUGGAGA